rnacentral:rRNA from 1 species
UACGUAGGGGGCAAGCGUUGUCCGGAAUCAUUGGGCGUAAAGCGCGUGUAGGCGGUCCGGUAAGUCCGCUGUGAAAGUCGGGGGCUCAACCCUCGGAUGCCGGUGGAUACUAUCUGUCUUGAAUACCGUGGAGGUGAGCGGAAUAUGUCAUGUAGCGGUGAAAUGCUUAGAUAUGACAUAGAACACCAAUUGCGAAGGCAGCUCACUACACGAAUAUUGACACUGAGGCACGAAAGCGUGGGGAUCAAACAGG